rnacentral:lncRNA from 1 species
GAUUGUCUAAGCAAUAAAUCAUCAUCAAUCUUGGUAUUCUUGCUCCGGACGGAGUGUGCUCGUGGAUUCGAGUGGGCGUUGUGGAUUCGGCGUGAUCAAGGCUUCGUGGAUUCGAAGUGUGGACGUUUCGUGGAUUCGGGACGUGGCGUUCGUGGAUUCGGACGUGGGGCGUGGACAACCCAUUGGUGUGCGCGAGAUCCGGAGAAGAUAAAAGAGAGGUUUGAGUCCGUGGAUUCGGUAAAUCACCUUGUAAUCUUUUAUUCUUAGUGGAUUGUUAUCGCGUGUUGGUCCUGUGGUUUUUUACUCAUAGUUGGAGUUUUCCACGUAAAUCUCGGUGUGAUUUUUAUUUUCCGCAUUUAUUUUUAUCGUAUUGAGAUUUGUGGUUUUUGGCUAUUACACCUAUUCACCCCCCCUCUAGGCGUUAGAUACAAUCUAGAUAGAUCCUUGGGCUCCUCAAAACUUUCAAUUGGUAUCAGAAC